rnacentral:rRNA from 1 species
AGAGCCAACCCGUCUCUGUUGCAAAAGAGUGGGAAAAUUUUUUAGUAGAGGUGACAUACCUAUCGAACUUAGACAUAGCUGGUUUUUUAAGAAAAGAAUUUUAGUUCUGCUUUAAAUUUGUGUAUUAAACAAAAAUAUAAUUAAAUUUAAAAGUUACUCAAAUAAGGCACAGCUUAUUUGAAACAGGAUACAACCUAAAACCUAGGGUAAGAUAAACAAAAUUUUAACAAGUGGGCCUAAAAGCAGCCACCUUUUAAAAAGCGUCAAAGCUUAAUAACCAAAAUAUACUCAAUACCUACACCCUCUUCUAACCCACAUUUACUAUUAAAAAACUCCAUAACAAUAUGGUAGCUAUUAUGCUAGAACAAGUAACAAGAAAGCGACUUUCUCCGAAAUGUAAGCUUAAGCCAUUAUAGACAUUCUACUGGCAAUUAACGUUUAUAAAUCUAUUGUAAUAACUUAAACAAGAAAACCUUAUAUCCAAUAGCGUCAACCUUACACCAGUGCAU